UCGUAGUCGUAGUCGUAGUCGUAGUCACGGUCCAUGUUUAGAGUUAGUUCGCGCUGGAUUAUCCGCUCCCAGUUCCUCGUCAUAGUUCGUUUCUCGUUUUGUUUAUCGACCCUGUUUUCCGUGACCAUGACCUAGAUUCCAGCCUUGCCCCGUGUAUGCCUGUUUUCCAAUCGCCUGACCUCUUGCAUGUUUGCGGAUUACGUUUUGGAUCACGUUUUGGAUUUGUCUGCCUGUCUCUCUUUCAAAUAAACAACUGUUCAUCCUGCACUUGCAUCCGUCCUAUCUCCGCUCCGUCACGAUACGUGACACAAAGAAGGUGAGGAAGAGUUUCUCAAGACUUAAGAAGUUGAACUGAAAGGAAGUGUCUCAGGUCUGAAGAAGUUGAAGGAGAGGUUUAAAAAAUAAGGAACUGGAUGAAGUGGUUCUCAAAACUGAGGAAGUUCAAGAAGAACCUUUCAAGCCUGGGGAAGAAAAGGAAGAGUCUCUCAAGACCAAGGAAGGUGAGGAAGAUUGCUACAAAGCUGAAGAAGAGUCUCUCAAGUCUGAAGAAGUUGAGGAAGAGCGUCUUCUCUUCUCUCCACUUGGGCAGGAAAACCAUCCAUGAGCUGCAGUAAAAUGUAGCCUUAGUGUUUGUCGAUACAGUGGGGGUCAUGAUGUCUGAGUCCAGCAGCAAGAAUUGACCAUUUUACUCAACUGGCCAGAUGUGUCGUUAUCUGUAGCAUCCCUGCUGGUGCCUCUACAAAUUACACCUGCAACAUGAGGGGUCGUCAUGUGAACAUCAUUCCCGAUGUUAUCCAGGCUCUCACGCUCUGUGAAGUGGAAGUCUAUGGGGUUCCAGUGCCUGUUACUAAGAGGGCAUUUCUGAGAUUGAAGUUUAACAGCAGUGAGGAUCUUAUGAACCCUACUGUGAGGGACAAAAUUCUUCAAAAGAUGAUAUCUGCCAAUGUCCAGCCUUCAGUGCGUCAGAUCCGUUGGACUAAGGAACCAGAGGUGGAAAAAGAAACUUAAAAAACGGUGGCAGAAAUAUAUCUGAAACAACAAGAAAAAGAUGAAGUGGAAGAAGAAGAAGAAGUGUUCAAAGAACAAAAAGAAAAAACAUCAAAUGUGUGAGGUUUGGGUGUAGCACUUGAAAAUACUAGCUAACUGAUGUUAUAGGUUUAUUAAUUAGAAGUACUAGAAGUUUUUUAGUUUAUUUGUUUGGGAAAUGUAUCUAUGAAAAAUUACCACAGGGUUUGUACAAGGUGCUUGAAUUUGGCAUUUGGAAAUAUAAGUACUGGAAGACCUUAAAUAGCCUUUUUUUAUGUAACAGUGGUUAAAAAGUGCUUGAAUGUUAUUUAUUUAUUGACUUUUUAUCAAUCACUUUAAAGGGUUUAUUUUCAAAAGAACACGAAUACAACCCUUUCACUCAAAAUAUGACUCCCCGCUGCAGCCCCUCCUCCUCCUGCUGUUCACUCAUUCAUUUUAACAGGCUUCGGACCACUUCUCAGACCCCUUUAGCAACUUUUUUUUUUUAAAGCACCUAGCGACAUAUCUAGAGACUUUUCAGACAAACCUUAGCUACUUUCCGUAGAAGAGAAUGGCCAGUACUGCCUGGUGAGUGCGAGGUACUGCUUUCAGAAACAGAAAAAAUAUGUAAAUGAGAACAGCUUUAUUGGGAAUUCGGCUGUAUUAAAAUUCAGCAUGUGAGCACAGAGAGUAGGAUGUAUUAUAAAGGGCUGACUCUAGGCAGAGUGAAAAUACGAUGCAAUGGUGAAAUUAUGGUGAAAAUGAAGCAAUGACUGGGAAAUACAAAUUUAGUCCAUCACGGCUGGGAAAAGGGGCUAUAUUAAAAUGGUUGUUUAAAAAUAUAUAUAUAUUUAUUAUUAUUAUUAUUAUUAUUAUUAUUAUUAUUAUUAUUAAUAUUUUUUUAGAAAUGAAGGAUAUGUUUGAAUGACAUCUCUUGUAUAGUCCUUGAAAGAAAAAAAGUGCUCAAAGUCCUUGAAAGUCCUGGAAUUUCAUUAUGAAGCAUCUGUACAGUACAUCUGUACUGUACCUGUUAUAUGUACUAUGCGAUUGAUGUAUUAAACAUGCCUCUUGAUUUCUGGGUUUAGCAUAGUUAUACCUCGGUUUGAGUUUAAAACAAUUGCUAGAUUUUCUGGUAGAAUAUUGCUAGUUAAGUUUCUCUCACAGAUAUUAUUGAGUAGAUAAAGUAUAUUCAGUAGCUUUUCUGGGAUAGUGAGAAUUUAGGUUAAUAUAGUAUGUUGGCUCGAAUUUAGCCUAUUACCCAAAAACAUUUAAAAUUCAACUUAGAAGCCAAUACUCACAUCUACCUUUGAGACCAGUUGGAGAUAGAAAAAAUACACCAGCCGUGAGUGAGAAGAAGCAAGGGUCCAGCUUUAUUGUUCCAUUCCACCACACGAGAUCCACACCGAUGAGAAUUCUCAGAAGUGAUCCCCCAUACCCUGAGCCUAAGCUCCAGUAUUUAUACUGUAUUUACACACUAGAUAACCCAUAGGUUUCCAGAAAAGGCCUAUUUCACUUACCCAUAGAAUUGAAACCAGGGGUUUUACUUUACACAUAAAAUCAGAACUCAGGCAUUUCCAACAACCCAGGAAACAAAAACCCAGUGUUUCUAUUUACCUAGGUUUUCAAAAACCAGGGUUCUCUUUUACCUAGGUCUUCAAAAACCAGGGUUCUCCCUUACCUAGGUCUUCAGAAACCAAGAUUCCCAUUUCCCUAGGUAAUAAAAAUGACGUAAGCAAGACGACUAAACAACCGGGAGGGACCUUGGUCUUAUCGUUAUCUCGAGGGGGGGGGGCAGCCACCCUUAUAACUGGCUUUCUUCAUGGUUCUCUAAAAAUUAAGGCUUUCCUUGCGAGACGAGAAUCUUCACCAUCUGAAUCAUGAGUGCCGGUGCCCGUCAUCAGUCCCUUCUCUCACCGUUACUGGACCUGGAUCUGGAUCUGGACCUCCCUUAUGUUUAUUUUAUGACAUUUUUUAUCCACAACAAGUAGAAAACAAAACACUCAGAUUAUCCUGGUUGUAAGAACUGC